rnacentral:rRNA from 1 species
UACGGAGGGGGCUAGCGUUGUUCGGAAUUACUGGGCGUAAAGCGCACGUAGGCGGCUUUGUAAGUUAGAGGUGAAAGCCCAGGGCUUAACCCUGGAAUUGCCUUUAAGACUGCAUCGCUAGAAUCGUGGAGAGGUGAGUGGAAUUCCGAGUGUAGAGGUGAAAUUCGUAGAUGAUUCGGAAGAACACCAGUGGCGAAGGCGACUCACUGG